ensembl:snRNA U2 U2 spliceosomal RNA
CCUACCUCCACAGCAGUGCCUUUAGGCUAGGAUCAAGUGUAGCAUCUAUUUUUAUUGGUAUAAUACCUGAUUCAUCCUCAGUUUGAAGGCUUGAUAUUAAAUGGGAUUGGAAGAUGCACUAGGAGCUUGCUGCACACAUCAAACCAGUGUUGUGCCUCCUCUAGGCAUCCAAGCAGGUGCCUAGA